AGGCUUGUAGCUCAGGUGGUUAGAGUGCACCCCUGAUAAGGGUGAGGUCGGUGGUUCAAGUCCACUCAGGCCUACCA
rnacentral:tRNA from 14 species